rnacentral:lncRNA from 1 species
GAUUUGCACGGUUGCAGCAACAAUGCACCCGGUAAAAUCAGUUUAAAGCAGGCAGGGUUUCUUUGGCUCACAGACCCAGGCCUUGUAUAUGAAGCGUCCUCCCCUUCCCCAGGGCUUAAGUCCUAAAACCAGUGCUCCGUGCUGAAGGAUUCCAUGAAUCCCGGUUGGAUUUGGAAGCUUUGAGUGACCCAGACACAUGUUCCUCUUCCUCCUGCUCACAGGUACGGCCAGGCUUCUGCCAGUGCUCAAGAGACUCAGAAAAGUCCAGCUUGGCAUCAAGCACCGAGAAAAGACGUUAAAACAAACCACGUGUCCCCUUCCUUCCUGGCCACAAUCUGCCUGAUGGCUGUCAAACCUUCCAGGAUACUCAACGGCUGGCGCUUGCCUGCUGGGUUGCUGUCUUCCUCCUUCGCUUAUGCUUCCUGCCAGGCUCCUAAGAAAUCUAGUGUCCAUGUCUGAGCUCAUUCCACCACGGGGCUCCUUUGACCAGCACCUGUUGAUGGCGUUUAUUUUGAACAGAUCUUGGUUUUUAAAGUCCCAGAUUCUGAGACUUCUUCACUCGCUGAUAGAUGCUCCUGACACCAUGCCUGCAGCUUGAGCCUGUGCCUCCCUGCUCUGAUGGACUCAUCCCUCUGGAAGUGCCGAAUUCGAGGACUAAAAGUCUGAGGGGUUGAACUGUGUCACCAGCCAGAUCCAGCCACAGAAUAGUUGUGGGAAGCUUUGACUCAAAGCAGCAAUGGGAACAUUGUUUGCAAAGUGCAAACUCAGGACUGAGGGAAUGGCUCCGUUGGCAAAGUGCCCGCCUUGCAAGCUUAGAGGACCUGUGUUCAGUCCCCGGCUCCACACAAGAAGCUGUACUGUGGAGAUGAAGGCAGGAGGGCCUCUUGAAAUUUGCUGGCCAGCCAGCCUAUCUAUUCAUCCUGGUGGGUGACUCAAAAAAAGAGUGGCUCCUGAGUGAUGAGACAUGGUGUUGACAUCUGGCCUCCACACAUCAAGCAUGCACACAACCACAACCACGUACACACUGCACACAGAGAGGCUGCCUUGACAUUUCCUUUGCCAACCCCUCACUGCUCCAGUGAGCAUUCCCAAGGAAUGGCCAAGCAAAAAUGAGCCCUUUCUUUGCCAGACUUUUAGCCUUGACCCUUCACCCCCCAAGACCUGGAUUCAGCUAUGUCACAGGAAUCCAGGGACAGGGAAAGACCAACCAGAGAUACGGACUGGCCCCACAGUCUCAUGCCAUUCUCCCUACUAACUCCUUAUCCCCUACUGUGCUGAGAGAUGACUGUACCUUCUUGAGUGUUCUCGAUGGCCAUGGGGUGGAAGCACCACGGGAAUCCCCGGACACUGUCAUCAAAACAGCAACCUCUCUCCGUGCACUGCUGGGCGGUGACACCGGGGAAGCCACAAUUUAUCCUCUCCCGGGGGGCCAUGAUACAUGUUUCUAAAGUGAGGACAAAAAGCAGGGUGAGUCAUGGGCUGUCACACUGCUUCCUUCUAUGAGGAAACAGGACGCCGCCUGUGGGGAAGCCAGGUUUGAAUAUGCAAGGGGAUACAGUCCUCAUCUGUAGAUGCGGCAAGCCUGGCGCUGGGACAGUUCCAGGGCCACCGCUUCCUCAGCUGCAUUUGUUAGGUGAUGUACUGUUUGCUCAUUGUUGUACUUCUGCACUCAGUAAACUCUGCUCACCUAAUAAGUA